rnacentral:rRNA from 1 species
UGGGGAAUUUUGGACAAUGGACGCAAGUCUGAUCCAGCCAUGCCGCGUGCGGGAAGAAGGCCUUCGGGUUGUAAACCGCUUUUGUCAGGGAAGAAACGAGUUUCUCUAAUACAGAGACUUAAUGACGGUACCUGAAGAAUAAGCACCGGCUAACUACGUGCCAGCAGCCGCGGUAAUACGUAGGGUGCGAGCGUUAAUCGGAAUUACUGGGCGUAAAGCGUGCGCAGGCGGUUAUGUAAGACAGAUGUGAAAUCCCCGGGCUCAACCUGGGAACUGCAUUUGUGACUGCAUGGCUAGAGUGCGGUAGAGGGGGAUGGAAUUCCGCGUGUAGCAGUGAAAUGCGUAGAUAUGUGGAGGAACACCGAUGGCGAAGGCAAUCCCCUGGACCUGUACUGACGCUCAUGCACGAAAGCGUGGGGAGCAAACA